AAACCAGCACCUCAAGUGGUCAGGAGGAUUAUUGGGCCUAAAGCAUCCGUAGCCUGUUCUAUAAGUUUCCGGUUAAAUCCACUAGCUCAACUAGUGGGCUGCCGAAAAUACUGUAGAACUAGGGAGGGGGAGAGGUAGACGGUAUUCGGUAGGAAGGGGUAAAAUCCUUUGAUCUAUUGAGGACCACCUGUGGCGAAGGCGGUCUACCAGAACACGUCCGACGGUGAGGGAUGAAAGCUGGGGGAGCAAACCGGAUUAGAAACCCGAGUAGUCC
rnacentral:rRNA from 1 species